CGAGAGCAAGGGCGAAUGGCAGCGUGGAUGCAACGCGUGCAGGCGCGGCAGCCCAGCGUAGCGUCGGCGCACCGUGGCAUCCUGGUAUACUACUGCUAUUCCAUUCAAGUGGCGGUGCAUCUUUCUCCUCCUCCCUACCAGAGAAUUUGUUCGAAUUUGGCUCUUCGAGUUCCCAACUAUAAAGGAUGAUGUUUUUCUUGGCCAGAUUAGUGUUUCUCUCCUCUCCUAGCCACGAGGGGAGGAGGGAGAACAGAUUGUAAGCAGCAAGUUGAGCAGCAAAGACAACCGAUGCAGUGGCGUGGAGUUCGAGUUUGACAGUUCGGUGCCCAAUCCAGGGUUGCAGUGCUGGAACAAGGCAGAGUAGUUGCUUUGUCUUUGUUUUUCUUUGUAUGUUGCAAAUUCGCAUCACAUCAAAGUACGCAUCAGUAUGAUCUCAGGAUUCUAUGGAUGAGAGUACACAUCAAUAUGCUCUCUGGGGAUGAGCCACAUGAUCUUGGGAUCAGAUUCAUCUGAGCAACACAAGAUCUUGGCUAAUUGGUGUAUAUUUUUGAUAGCUUUUUUUUUUGAAGGGAGAUUUUUGAUAGCUUAUUAAUACUGAACAUCUGGAUAUAUGCCUUAUAAGAGCGAGGAAACUUAAGUCUAUGGCUUGAGCUAAUAAAGAUUGUAGGUUUUUAGAGUAGGAACAAGGUUAGCAUUUCUGUCAUUUUAUUAUACACGCGUUGUUCUUUUUGGACGUGAGAUUUAGUUGUCUGUUUGUCAGUCAAUGGACUAAAAUAAUGUAAACUAGGCAUAUAACAACCAUUUAAAUUUAUGGAUUUAUGGUUUGAUGCAAUUUAGCACAUGCUAGGUCCUCUUCUCAAAUUAGUAGGAGUUUAGGACAAAGUAUAAUGGUGCUACCUUACUCAUAUUAUACUGGAUUGUCAGAAUCAGUUGGGCCAUUCAUUGGCUCCUCCUCCCCUCCUCUAUGCUCACUUUGUCAUGCUCUGUAGCGGUGGUGGCGUCAUAUCAGAGAUGGAGCAAGAAUUGUUGCCGCACUGAAUGCUCCAUAAUGCAAGAAAACCAGUAUAGAGAAGCCAGAUACAUCCGCAUAAAGCAAAGACAAACAUAGCUUAUUUUGUCGGCUUAUAACUAUGUUAGUUUUGCAGUUUUUGGUUAGAGCUUUGCUUUUUGUGAUAACUCUGUUCUUUUGCAGAGUAGAUGAAUAUAAGCCUGUAGUCUGUGAUCUAUGUGUACACAUAACCUCUUUUUUUAAAAAAUUCUCAUAAUAUGGAUCCAAAUUUCAUAAGCUAUAAGAAUUAUUGAUAAUAUUCCUGAAGCUUUUGUUCUGGCUUGCUACUCAUUUAAUAGAAGUUGUCUUCCAUUGCCUGAGUGCUCGACUAUAAAGAACCUAAAUAUUAGUUCUUAUCAACCUGUGACAUUGUAGUGAUUUUGUGCUAGCUGAUGAAUAGUGGAUAGUAGCAAUGUAGUUUAAUUUCAGGAAGGAAAAGAGUGAUGCAUAGGGAAGGAAAACCUUUGUUCAAAAUAAAUAUAUAUCAUUAGAUUUCUCAAAACCUUGCUGUUUUGUGUUCUGCUAUUCAUUCAGCAUUUUAGCUAAAGGCCUAAUUUUUAUAACCAAACUAUGAUUACGACGUUGCAAUUUUCCGUUAGUUUUAUUGUUGCAUGUACAUUGGGUAAGCACUCGCCUUACAAUGUGGGGUGCACUCUCCUGCAGUGGAUUUGCCUCGCCUGUGCUUGCAUGUGCUUCAUUCUAUGCAGGUAGAACAAGAAGAUCCAGCUUCUACACAGGUAGUAUAUGUGUGCCUAUAACUUUGCUGUAAUCACCUCAGUGAGUAGUCUGCUGAUCCAUCUUUUUGUUCAACUGUGGCAAUGGCUGCGGGUAAGCCUUUUAGAUAUUGAUUUGUCAAAAUAAACUGACACAAGCUUUCAGAGAUGUGUGAUUUCAUAUUUUCCAUGAUAAAAAAUAAUGUUAUUUCCAUUGCUUCAAAGAUAUACUAUAUGUUGUGUGUUAAUUCCCUUUGCUUCAAAGUUUCUUCAGAUAAAGCUGCAUGAAGAUGAAAAGACAUUUUAUUCAGUACUAUCGGUUACUUUACAUUUAUUUAUGCCAUGCUUUUUUUAUUGGUUCAGGAAGAUGUACACAGUACACUGAUCUGGUGGAGAAGAACACCACAACCACCUCAGCUAACAUGUUCCUUUGUUGCACCUGAAAAGGGAUAAUUCGCAUAUAUUUCAUCUUAAAAAGAAACUGAGCUGAAGAAACUUAUGAAUCAGAUAACAUUUUUUCUAGGCCUGAAUUUGUCUGCUUAAUUUUGCAGGCACGGCGAAGCAGCGUUGGAGGUGGCUGCUGGCUCCUAUGAUGUUGCCCAUGUCUCCUGCUACAAGUGCAACCGGUGCAACUGCUAAUGUUAAGAGAUUAUUGACUGUAGCAAGCACCAACGUGCCUAUCUGGGAUGAAGUGAUGAAUAAAUAAAAGAGGCCAUCCAGUGUGACGGUUCAAUCUCUGUAUAUUUGGCUGUUGAUAAUUACUGGUCAUCUUGCCAGUGUGCCCUGUGUAAUGUUGUUCAGUGAAAUAUAAGAUAAUUUGUUUAUGAGUUUCCCUCUCAUUAUCUUUUGUUUU